GACAGUAAAUCUGAAUUCUGCCCAGAAACAUAUUCGCGCCACAGUCGACAAUGGAAGGAAAAAAGUUGCCAGUCUACGAAGGGUUAACUAGGAGGGAAGACUGCUUCGUUGCUGUUAAACUCCAUGAAACUAUUUUCAUAAAGUAAGAAUGCGAGAGCAAGCCCCACUAGCGUGGAACGCUGGGAAGCGGGGCGAUCCGUGAAAACAGGUGUUGAGUUCGUUGUGGUCUGUGCUGGGCCUCCGUGUCCCUCCGUGAUUCCGGCGCUGAUUCGUCUUCAGGCCCAGAAUCUGACCGGGAGCCGCAGCCAGGAGGCGCACGCCGAGGAUGAGCCGGCGUACCGCCGGGGAAACUGCCGCCGGGCUGCCGGUGUCCUGGUACCGCCGCCUGGAGGACGUCCCCACAGGAUUCAGCAUCUUUGUCGCUCACGAGUUCUUUGACGUUUUGCCGGUCCAAAAAUGUCAGGU